rnacentral:rRNA from 1 species
UCCAGACUCCUACGGGAGGCAGCAGUGGGGAAUAUUGGGCAAUGGACGCAAGUCUGACCCAGCAACGCCGCGUGAAGGAAGAAGGCUUUCGGGUUGUAAACUUCUUUUAAGGGGGAAGAGUAGAAGACGGUACCCCUUGAAUAAGCCACGGCUAACUACGUGCCAGCAGCCGCGGUAAUACGUAGGGGGCAAGCGUUAUCCGGAUUUACUGGGUGUAAAGGGGGCGCAGACGGCGAUGCAAGCCAGGAGUGAAAGCCCGGGGCCCAGCCCCGGGACUGCUCUUGGAACUGCGUGGCUGGAGUGCAGGAGGGGCAGGCGGAAUUCCUGGUGUAGCGGUGAAAUGCGUAGAUAUCAGGAGGAACACCGGUGGCGAAGGCGGCCUGCUGGACUGCAACUGACGUUGAGGCCCGAAAGCGUGGGGAGCAAACAGGAUUAGAUACCCGGGUAAG